rnacentral:rRNA from 1 species
AGGUAGUGACAAGAAAUAACAAUACAAGGCAGUUAAAAUGCUUUGUAAUUGGAAUGAUAGAAAUUUAAACCCUUUUUAAAGUAUCAAUUGGAGGGCAAGUCUGGUGCCAGCAGCCGCGGUAAUUCCAGCUCCAAUAGCGUAUAUUAAAAUUGUUGCAGUUAAAAAGCUCGUAGUUGAAUUUCUGUUAAAAAUAACCGGUCUGCUUUUAAUAAAAGUGGUAUCUUGGUGUGUUUUUAGCAAUAAUGUCCUUUGAAGUGUUUUUUACUUUAUUGUAAUAAAUAAUAUUCAGGAUUUUUACUUUGAGAAAAUUAGAGUGUUUCUAGCAGGCUAACGCUUUGAAUACUGCAGCAUGGAAUAAUAAGAUAGGAUUUUAGUUCUACAUUAUUGGUUUUAAGAACUAAAUUAAUGAUUGAUAGGGACAGUUGGGGGCAUUUGUAUUUAACUGUCAGAGGUGAAAUUCUUAGAUUUGUUAAAGACAAACUACUGCGAAAGCAUUUGCCAAAGAUGUUUUCAUUAAUCAAGAACGAAAGUUAGGGGAUCGAAGACGAUCAGAUACCGUCGUAGUCUUAACUAUAAACUAUGCCGACUAGAGAU